GCAAGUCGAGCGGAAACGAUAAAGAGCUUGCUCUUUAGGCGUCGAGCGGCGGACGGGUGAGUAAUGCUUGGGAAUAUGCCUUAUGGUGGGGGACAACAGUUGGAAACGACUGCUAAUACAGCAUAACGUCUACGUACCAAAGGGAGGGAUCUUCGGACCUCUCGCCAUUUGAUUAGCCCAAGUGCGAUCAGCUAGUAGGUGAGGUAAUGGCUCACCUAGGCGACGAUCUUUAGCUGGCUUGAGAGGAUGAUC
rnacentral:rRNA from 1 species